rnacentral:rRNA from 1 species
AGUGAACGCUGGCGGUAGGCCUAACACAUGCAAGUCGAACGGCAGCACAGAGGAGCUUGCUCCUUGGGUGGCGAGUGGCGGACGGGUGAGGAAUACAUCGGAAUCUACUCUGUCGUGGGGGAUAACGUAGGGAAACUUACGCUAAUACCGCAUACGACCUACGGGUGAAAGCAGGGGAUCUUCGGACCUUGCGCGAUUGAAUGAGCCGAUGUCGGAUGAGCUAGUUGGCGGGGUAAAGGCCCACCAAGGCGACGAUCCGUAGCGGGUCUGAGAGGAUGAUCAGCCACGCUGGAACUGAGACACGGUCCAGACUCCUACGGGAGGCAGCAGUGGGGAAUAUUGGACAAUGGGCGCAAGCCUGAUCCAGCCAUACCGCGUGGGUGAAGAAGGCCUUCGGGUUGUAAAGCCCUUUGUUGGGAAAGAAAUCCAUCUGGUUAAUACCCGGGUGGGAUGACGGUACCCAAAGAAUAAGCACCGGCUAACUUCGUGCCAGCCGCCGCAGUAA